rnacentral:rRNA from 1 species
AGAGUUUGAUCAUGGCUCAGAGCGAACGCUGGCGGCAGGCUUAACACAUGCAAGUCGAGCGGGCGUAGCAAUACGUCAGCGGCAGACGGGUGAGUAACGCGUGGGAACGUACCUUUUGGUUCGGAACAACCCAGGGAAACUUGGGCUAAUACCGGAUAAGCCCUUACGGGGAAAGAUUUAUCGUCGAAAGAUCGGCCCGCGUCUGAUUAGCUAGUUGGUGAGGUAACGGCUCACCAAGGCGACGAUCAGUAGCUGGUCUGAGAGGAUGAUCAGCCACAUUGGGACUGAGACACGGCCCAAACUCCUACGGGAGGCAGCAGUGGGGAAUAUUGGACAAUGGGCGCAAGCCUGAUCCAGCCAUGCCGCGUGAGUGAUGAAGGCCCUAGGGUUGUAAAGCUCUUUUGUGCGGGAAGAUAAUGACGGUACCGCAAGAAUAAGCCCCGGCUAACUUCGUGCCAGCAGCCGCGGUAAUACGAAGGGGGCUAGCGUUGCUCGGAAUCACUGGGCGUAAAGGGUGCGUAGGCGGGUCUUUAAGUCAGGGGUGAAAUCCUGGAGCUCAACUCCAGAACUGCCUUUGAUACUGAAGAUCUUGAGUUCGGGAGAGGUGAGUGGAACUGCGAGUGUAGAGGUGAAAUUCGUAGAUAUUCGCAAGAACACCAGUGGCGAAGGCGGCUCACUGGCCCGAUACUGACGCUGAGGCACGAAAGCGUGGGGAGCAAACAGGAUUAGAUACCCCAGUAGUCC